GUCUAUGGCUAUACCACCCUGAAUGCACCCAGUCUAGUCUGAUCUCAGAAGCUAAGCAAGGUCGGGCCUGGUUAGUACUUGGAUGGGAAAAUGAGCUUUGAAAUUUAUACAUC
ensembl:rRNA 5S_rRNA 5S ribosomal RNA